UACGUAGGGGGCAAGCGUUGUCCGGAUUUAUUGGGCGUAAAGAGCGUGUAGGCGGCUUGGUAGGUCCGCUGUGAAAACUCGAGGCUCAACCUCGAGAUGUCGGCGGAAACCACUUGGCUAGAGUCCAGAAGAGGAGAGUGGAAUUCCCGGUGUAGCGGUGAAAUGCGCAGAUAUCGGGAAGAACACCUAUGGCGAAGGCAGCUCUCUGGGACGGUACUGACGCUGAGACGCGAAAGCGUGGGGAGCGAACAGG
rnacentral:rRNA from 1 species